GGGCAGCAUCUAGUAGUUCUGGUCUGGAACAAACAAGAUUUUCUCUAGUCCCUGAGAGACAGUGCUAAGAUCACAGUCAAAAGGAAGUCACCAAUGAAGAUUUGUCUGCGCAGCUAAGAAAACUGCUUGUGGUGAAAGCUCUAAACGAAACAGAGAAUGAACACCAUGUAACCAGACAGCUAUAAACCUUCAGCUGCAGACCACUGAUGGGAGUCCAUAGACCACCAGUUUGGGAAACCUCUGCUUUAAACCCCUAAAUGAUUCAACGUUUGUUCCCUCUGAUGACACCACGAAUCUGGGAAUGAAGAACUUCUUAGAGCUGAUUGGAAAUGGCAUUGCGGAGCUGAAACUUAACUGGAGGAAAUAUAUCUCCUGAAGAAGAAAAUAUAAUGCACUGUAAGGAUCUGACUUCUGGUGAAAAAUUCAAGCCUAGAGAAAACUUGUCCGCUUUGUUAGGAAGAAUGGGUUGGACAAUUUUCUUCAAUUCCAAAGGAUAUCUGAAUGCCAUGCUGAGCUUAAUCUCUGCAGCAUGCUCUGUGCUUCUCAUCUCUUCCUGAUGCACUGCAUGGUUAUCCUGAAAGGGAGCAUAAAGAAACUGGCCACCAAGAUGGUAAUCACUAGUGGAAAUGAAGAAGAUAAAAGCAGUCAAGAAAAGGAAAGCAAAGAAGAAACCAUCUUGGCAAUGCUUGGAAUUAUUGGGACAAUUCUGAACCUCAUUGUGAUCAUUUUUGUGUAUAUUUACACAACGUUGUAAACUAGACGGCAUGCAAAUAGACCAGAUAAAACGGCCAUUAAGAGUGACGACAAACAUUGCUGACUAUUGACAAGUUAUUUAAUCAGAAUUGACUCUGUAUUAUAUUAACACAUCAUAAAAGCACUGCCUGCAGGCAGCGAAGGCUGAAGCACAAUUAAUUUAACAAGCUUAACUCUUCUGUCCUGCCCUCUUCCUUUCGGUUUGGUUUUCAGUUUGGGGGAAAAUGACUGCAAUUAUGUAAGUUGUAGCUUUCAAGAA